rnacentral:rRNA from 1 species
UACGUAGGUGGCGAGCGUUAUCCGGAUUUAUUGGGCGUAAAGAGCGCGCAGGCGGCUUUUCAAGUCGGAUGUGAAAUCUCCUGACUUAAUUGGGAGGGGUCAUCCGAUACUGUUGAGCUAGAGUGCAACAGAGGAAGGUAGAAUUCCCGGUGUAGUGGUGAAAUGCGUAGAUAUCGGGAGGAAUACCAGUGGCGAAGGCGGCCUUCCAGGUUGUUACUGACGCUUAAGCGCGAAGGCGUGGGGAG